AACGAACGCUGGCGGCAUGCCUAACACAUGCAAGUCGAACGUGAUCCAGGCCUUCGGGUCUGGUGAAAGUGGCAGACGGGUGAGUAACGCGUGGGAACCUGCCCCAAGGUAGGGAAUAACCGCGGGAAACUGCGGCUAAUACCCUAUGUGCCCUGCGGGGCAAAGAUUUAUCGCCUUGGGAGGGGCCCGCGUCGGAUUAGGUAGUUGGUAGGGUAACGGCCUACCAAGCCAUCGAUCCGUAGCUGGUCUGAGAGGAUGAUCAGCCACACUGGGACUG
rnacentral:rRNA from 1 species